rnacentral:rRNA from 1 species
UACGUAGGAGGCGAGCGUUGUCCGGAGUUAUUGGGCGUAAAGAGCGUGUAGGCGGCCUGAAAGGUCAGCUGUGAAAACUCGAGGCUUAACCUCGAGACGUCGGUUGAAACCAUCUGGCUAGAGUCCGGAAGAGGAGUGUGGAAUUCCCGGUGUAGCGGUGAAAUGCGCAGAUAUCGGGAAGAACACCCGUGGCGAAGGCGGCCUGCUGGGCUAUGGCUGACACUGAGGCGCGACAGCGUGGGGAGCAAACAGG